AGAGGUCUCAAGCGUUGUUCGGAUUCAUUGGGCGUAAAGGGUGCGUAGGCGGCGCGGUAAGUCGGGUGUGAAAUCUCGGAGCUUAACUCCGAAACUGCAUUCGAUACUGCCGUGCUUGAGGACUGGAGAGGAGACUGGAAUUUACGGUGUAGCGGUGAAAUGCGUAGAUAUCGUAAGGAAGACCAGUGGCGAAGGCGGGUCUCUGGGACGGUACUGACGCUGAGACGCGAAAGCGUGGGGAGCGAACAGG
rnacentral:rRNA from 1 species